rnacentral:rRNA from 1 species
AUUCCUACGGGAGGCAGCAGUAGGGAAUCUUCCGCAAUGGACGCAAGUCUGACGGAGCAACGCCGCGUGAGUGACGAAGGUUUUCGGAUCGUAAAACUCUGUUGUGAGGGAAGAACAAGUACCAACUAACUACUGGUACCUUGACGGUACCUCACCAGAAAGCCACGGCUAACUACGUGCCAGCAGCCGCGGUAAUACGUAGGUGGCAAGCGUUGUCCGGAAUUAUUGGGCGUAAAGCGCGCGCAGGCGGUCCCUUAAGUCUGAUGUGAAAGCCCACGGCUCAACCGUGGAGGGUCAUUGGAAACUGGGGGACUUGAGUGCAGAAGAGGAAAGUGGAAUUCCACGUGUAGCGGUGAAAUGCGUAGAGAUGUGGAGGAACACCAGUGGCGAAGGCGACUUUCUGGUCUGUAACUGACGCUGAGGCGCGAAAGCGUGGGGAGCAAACAGGAUUAGAUACCCUGGUAGUCCACGCCGUAAACGAUGAGUGCUAAGUGUUAGGGGGUUUCCGCCGUUUAGUGCUGCAGCUAACGCAUUAAGCACUCCGCCUGGGGAGUACGGCCGCAAGGCUGAAACUCAAAGGAAUUGACGGAAU